AUUGAACGCUGGCGGCAGGCCUAACACAUGCAAGUCGAACGGUAACAGGAGGAAGCUUGCUUCUUUGCUGACGAGUGGCGGACGGGUGAGUAAUGUCUGGGAAACUGCCUGAUGGAGGGGGAUAACUACUGGAAACGGUAGCUAAUACCGCAUAACGUCGCAAGACCAAAGAGGGGGACCUUCGGGCCUCUUGCCAUCGGAUGUGCCCAGAUGGGAUUAGCUAGUAGGUGGGGUAACGGCUCACCUAGGCGACGAUCCCUAGCUGGUCUGAGAGGAUGACCAGCCACACUGGAACUGAGACACGGUCCAGACUCCUACGGGAGGCAGCAGUGGGGAAUAUUGCACAAUGGGCGCAAGCCUGAUGCAGCCAUGCCGCGUGUAUGAAGAAGGCCUUCGGGUUGUAAAGUACUUUCCGCGGGGAGGAAGGGAGUAAAGUUAAUACCUUUGCUCAUUGACGUUACCCGCAGAAGAAGCACCGGCUAACUCCGUG
rnacentral:rRNA from 1 species